CAGCCGCCGCGGGAAUACGCAGGUGGCAAGCGUUGCCCGGAAUUAUUGGGCGUAAAGGGCUCGCAGGCGGUUUCUUAAGUCUGAUGUGAAAGCCCCCGGCUCAACCGGGGAGGGUCAUUGGAAACUGGGAAACUUGAGUGCAGAAGAGGAGAGUGGGAUUCCACGUGUAGCGGUGAAAUGCGUAGAGAUGUGGAGGAACACCAGUGGCGAAGGCGACUCUCUGGUCUGUAACUGACGCUGAGGAGCGAAAGCGUGGGGAGCGAACAGGAUUAGAUACCCCCGUAGUCCCUGUCUCUUAUAC
rnacentral:rRNA from 1 species